rnacentral:tRNA from 1 species
GCGCGAGUGGCGGAAUUGGCAGACGCGCAGGAUUUAGGUUCCUGUGUCUUCGGGCGUGCGGGUUCAAGUCCCGCCUCGCGCACCA